rnacentral:tRNA from 1 species
GGCGGGAUAGUUUAUAAUAGAAUGGGGGUCUUGUAAACUCUUGGUGCUUGUUAAGGGCUUCUGCUA